AUAUUAUUACAUAUUGGAAUAAUAUUAUACAUACGUAGUAUUAUAUAGUCAAUAUCUUAUAUAUUUUUAAAUUAUUCCCUAAUAUUGUGGUUCGCGAGCCUAACGGAAGUUAAGGGGCGGGAUUUCCGGUUUGGGUCGGACGGAAGCUAAAUAAAAUCUCUGCUCUGCCCCUCCCCCGUCCUUUCUUUACUUCGGCUGCUGGGGACUGCGCACACAAACGGCCAAUUGUUAGUCAGUCUGUCUUUCUGUAACACAAAAUGGCAGGAAAUGGCGUCCAAAUAUCCUCCAUUUGUGUACCAGCUAAACGUUUCUUUGAAAAGAAGAAAGGCGAGUGGAGGCUGAUCGAAAUGAAGAGAGCGCCAUUAUGAAGAACUUCAAGAUUGCAUCUUGCACAACAAAGUCCCAUACAAAGAAUGUUCCAGCUUGAUAAAGUGACGACUGGAUUGGAGAGCUGAUUGCAUCUUCCACAACAAAGUCCCAUACAAAGAAUGUUCCAGCUUGAUAAAGAAUGUUCCAGCUUGAUAAAGAAUGUUCCAGCUUGAUAAAGAAUGUUCCAGCUUGAUAAAGGGACGACUGGAUUGGAGAGCUGAUUGCAUCUUGCACAACAGAGUCCCAUACAAAGAAUGUUCCAGCUUGAUAAAGGGACGACUGUAUAGAUUGCGCAACGCAGGGAACUUCCCACGAGGGCGAGUUGGUGACACGAGAGCUGAUUGAAUGCUGCAUUUAGGACGGGACUCGUCCACCUGCUGAUGUUGAGUGAGGCCCACAAGUGCAACACUUGCAAUGAUGUCUGUGCCACAGCUGGACAUCCAGUUGACCAGACUAUGUUUAUAAGAUGAAGUGUCUGUGGCUGCACAUGCAAAGUGUAAACUGUGAAAGUAACUAUUAGAUUAGUUUGUAAAAGUAAAUGGCAUAAAGUUGUGUUUCAAGUGCUCGUGUAAGGUUGUUGGUUCACUUGAAUCUUUGAUUAAAAACCUCUAAGGACAGCACCUUUUAGCUCUUAUUUCCAAAAUGGUGUACACUACUGAGUUGGGGUCUUAUGUGGACACUUAUACUGCCAUCUGGUGGUGUCAGAAGAGUAUAACAUACAAUGGAAUUUGGAGGAAUAAGAAUUAGCAUGUCACUAAACAUGAAGUACACGUUUGUGUACUUAUGGACUAAGUACAUCAAGUCAAAAGAUGAUUCUUAGUUUUUAUUCUAAUUAGGGUCCAAUAAGCCCAAAUAGCAAAGAGAAAUAAUUUUAAAAAGCAUGUAAACAAACAGCUUGAGCCUUAAGAGGUUAAAGACUUCUCACAAGAGGUUGUGGUCAGAAUGUUUUUAAGGUUUUGAGCAGCUUUUCUUUUAAAUGCAACCGAAUACUAUCAAGUCAAGUUAUACCGCACCUAAUCUUGUUUAAAAAAAACCAAAACAACUUUGCCUUUUUUAUGAUUUUAUAAAGUAGUGUAAAAGUUUGCAGCAAAAGUCUAAUAUUCUGGACUUAAACCUGGAGGGCACGAGUGUCAUUGAGGGCCACGGCGCAGUUAUG